rnacentral:rRNA from 1 species
GACGUAGGGCGCGAGCGUUUGUCCGGGAUUUAUUGGGCGUAAAGAGCUCGUAGGCGGCUUGUCGCGUCGAACUGUGAAAACCCGCGGCUCAACUGUGUGGUCUGCAGUCGAUACGGGGCAGGCUAGAGUUCGGUAGGGGGAGACUGGAAAUUCCUGGUGUAGCGGUGAAAUGCGCAGAUAUCAGGAGGAACACCGGUGGCGAAGGCGGGUCUCUGGGCCGAUACUGACGCUGGAGGAGCGAAAGCCGUGGGGGAGCGAACAGG